AUUGAACGCUGGCGGCAGGCCUAACACAUGCAAGUCGAGCGGGGUUUUCGAACCUAGCGGCGGACGGGUGAGUAAUGCGUAGGAAGCUACCCGAUAGAGGGGGAUACCAGUUGGAAACGACUGUUAAUACCGCAUAAUGUCUACGGACCAAAGUGUGGGACCUUCGGGCCACAUGCUAUCGGAUGCGCCUACGUGGGAUUAGCUAGUGGGUGGGGUAAUGGCUCACCAAGGCGACGAUCCCUAGCUGGUUUGAGAGGAUGAGCAGCCACACUGGAACUGAGACACGGGCCAGACUCCUACGAGAGGCAGCAGUGGGGAAUAUUGGACAAUGGGCGCAAGCCUGAUCCAGCCAUGCCGCGUGUGUGAAGAAGGCCUUCGGGUUGUAAAGCACUUUCAGUAGGGAGGAAGGGUGUUGUGUUAAUAGCACAGCAUUUUGACGUUACCUACAGAAGAAGCACCGGCUAACUCUGUGCCAGCCGCCGCCGUAAUAC
rnacentral:rRNA from 1 species